AGAGUUUGAUCAUGGCUCAGGACGAACGCUGGCGGCGCGCUUAACACAUGCAAGUCGAGCGAGAACCAGGCUUCGGCCCUGGGGACAGCGGCGAACGGGUGAGUAACACGUGGAUAACCUGCCCUCGGCACCGGGAUAGCCCGGGGAAACCCGGAUUAAUACCGGAUAGCCCUUCCGACUUUCGAGUCGGUCCGAAAAGGUAGCUUCSSSSUCCGGCCGAGGAUGGGUCCGCGGCGGAUUAGCUUGUUGGUGGGGUAACGGCCUACCAAGGCUUCGAUCCGUAGCUGGUCUGAGAGGACGAUCAGCCACACUGGGACUGAGACACGGCCCAGACUCAUACGGGAGGCAGCAGUGGGGAAUCUUGCGCAAUGGGCGAAAGCCUGACGCAGCGACGCCGCGUGAGGGAGGAAGGCCUUCGGGUUGUAAACCUCUUUCAGGAGGGACGAAGCUACUCGGGUUAAUAGCCCAGAGGGUGACGGUACCUCCAGAAGAAGCCCCGGCUAACUACGUGCCAGCAGCCGCGGUAAU
rnacentral:rRNA from 1 species